GACGAACGCUGGCGGCGUGCCUAAUACAUGCAAGUCGAGCGCAGGAAACUGACGGAACUCUUCGGAGGGAAGGCAGUGGAAUGAGCGGCGGACGGGUGAGUAACACGUAAGGAACCUGCCUCAAGGAUUGGGAUAACUCCGAGAAAUCGGAGCUAAUACCGGAUAGUUCAACGGACCGCAUGGUCCGCUGAUGAAAGGCCCUCCGGCGUCACCUUGCGCUUGCCUUGCGGUGCAUUAGAUAGUUGGAGGGGUAACGGCCCACCAAGGCGCCGAUGCAUAGCCGACGUGAGAGGGUGAUCGGCCACACUGGGACUGAGACACGGCCCAGACUCCUACGGGAGGCAGCAGUAGGGAAUCUUCCACAAUGGACGAAAGUCUGAUGGAGCAACGCCGCGUGAGUGAUGAAGGUUUUCGGAUCGUAAAACUCUGUUGUAAGGGAAGAACACGUACGAGAGGAAAUGCUCGUACCUUGACGGUACCUUACGAGAAAGCCACGGCUAACUACGUGCCAGCAGCCGCCGUAAUAC
rnacentral:rRNA from 1 species